rnacentral:rRNA from 1 species
GACAGAGGUCCCGAGCGUUAGGCGGAAUCACUGGGCUUAAAGCGUGUGUAGGCGGACUUCUAAGUACCUUGUGAAAUCCCACGGCUUAACCGUGGAACUGCUUGGUAUACUGGUUGUCUUGGGCCACUUAGGGGCUACCGGAACAAACGGUGGAGCGGUGAAAUGCGUAGAUAUCGUUUGGAACGCCAAUGGUGAAAACAGGUAGCUGGGAGUGUGCCGACGCUGAGACACGAAAGCCAGGGGAGCGAACGGG